UACGAGGGGGGCGAGCGUUGUUCGGAAUUAUUGGGCGUAAAGGGUGCGUAGGCGGUUUGGUAAGUCUUAUGUGAAAUCUAUGGGCUCAACUCAUAGACUGCAUGAGAAACUGCCGGGCUUGAGUAUGGGAGAGGUGAGUGGAAUUCCUGGUGUAGCGGUGAAAUGCGUAGAUAUCAGGAGGAACACCUGUGGCGAAGGCAGCUCGCUGGGACGUUACUGACACUGAGGCGCGAAAGCGUGGGGAGCGAACAGG
rnacentral:rRNA from 1 species